rnacentral:rRNA from 1 species
GACGAACGCUGGCGGCGUGCUUAACACAUGCAAGUCGAACGGAAAGGCCCUGCUUUUGUGGGGUGCUCGAGUGGCGAACGGGUGAGUAACACGUGAGUAACCUGCCCUUGACUUUGGGAUAACUUCAGGAAACUGGGGCUAAUACCGGAUAGGAGCUCCUGCUGCAUGGCGGGGGUUGGAAAGUUUCGGCGGUUGGGGAUGGACUCGCGGCUUAUCAGCUUGUUGGUGGGGUAGUGGCUUACCAAGGCUUUGACGGGUAGCCGGCCUGAGAGGGUGACCGGCCACAUUGGGACUGAGAUACGGCCCAGACUCCUACGGGAGGCAGCGGUGGGGAAUAUUGCACAAUGGGCGGAAGCCUGAUGCAGCAACGCCGCGUGCGGGAUGACGGCCUUCGGGUUGUAAACCGCUUUCGCCUGUGACGAAGCGUGAGUGACGGUAAUGGGUAAAGAAGCACCGGCUAACUACGU